CAAGUGAAANCCCUGUACACCUCA
rnacentral:tRNA from 1 species